rnacentral:tRNA from 2 species
UGGGGUGUGGGGUAACGGCAGCCCGCAGGCCUUUGGAGCCUCGCAGUCCAGGUUCGAAUCCUGGCACCCCAGCCA